GGGUGUUUCCGCCAUCGGGGCGAAACAGGGAUUGCGCUGGUCGGGCCGCCGCG
rnacentral:ncRNA from 2 species